rnacentral:rRNA from 1 species
AACGUAGGAGACAAACGUUAUCCGGAGUUACUGGGCGUAAAGGGCGUGUAGGCGGUUGGCUAAGUCUGGCGUGAAAGCUCUCGGCUAAACCGGGAGAGGUCGUUGGAUACUGGUCGACUAGAGGAUGGUAGAGGCGUGUGGAAUUCCGGGUGUAGUGGUGAAAUGCGUAGAGAUCCGGAGGAACACCAGUGGCGAAGGCGACACGCUGGGCCAUACCUGACGCUCAAGCGCGACAGCAUGGGGAGCAAACGGG